CCCAAGAGAUCGGGAUAACACCUGGAAACAGAUGCUAAUACCGGAUAACAACAGAUGAUGCCUAUCAACUGUUUAAAAGAUGGUUCUGCUAUCACUCUUGGAUGGACCUGCGGUGCAUUAGCUAGUUGGUAGGGUAACGGCCUACCAAGGCGAUGAUGCAUAGCCGAGUUGAGAGACUGAUCGGCCACAUUGGAACUGAGACACGGUCCAUACUCCUACGGGAGGCAGCAGGC
rnacentral:rRNA from 1 species